rnacentral:rRNA from 1 species
CCCCUAGAUGUUCUGGGCCGCACGCGCGCUACACUGAACAGUUCAACAAGUCUUAACCUUGGCCGAUAGGUCUGGGUAAUCUUUGAACGCUGUUCGUGAUUGGGAUAGACCUUUGCAAUUAUGGGUCUUCAACGAGGAAUUCCUAGUUAACGCAAGUCAUCAGCUUGCAUUGAUUACGUCCCUGCCCUUUGUACACACCGCCCGUCGCACCUACCGAUUGAAUGGUCCGGUGAAAUCUCGGGACGGCGGCUUGGUCGCUUGCGUCCGACUGCUGAAACUUGAUUAAACCAUAUCAUUUAGAGGAAGGUGAAGUCGUANCA